GACGAACGCUGACGGCGGGCUUAACACAUGCCAGUCGAAGGGAGUGGCGAACGGGUGAGUAACAAGUGAGUAACCUGCCCUUUUCUUUGGGAUAAGCCUGGGAAACUGGGUCUAAUACUGGAUGGAUUGGGAUGGGCUCGUGGCUUAUCAGCUUGUUGGUUGGGUGAUGGCUUACCAAGGCUUUGACGGGUAGCCCGCCUGAGAGGGUGGUCGGUCACACUGAGACUGAGAUACGGCCCAGCCUCCUACUGGAGGCAGCAGUGGGGGAGAUUGCACAAUGGACGAAAGUCUGAUGCAGCGACGUCGUGUGGGGGAUGAAGGCCUUCGGGUUGUAAACUCCUUUCGCCCGCGGAAUGGGAGUGGGUAAAGAAGCGCCGGCUAACUACGUGCCAGCAGCCGCGGUAAUAG
rnacentral:rRNA from 1 species